GACGAACGCUGGCGGCGUGCCUAAUACAUGCAAGUCGAACGGAGUGGCGGACGGGUGAGUAAUGUCUGGGAAACUGCCUGAUGGAGGGGGAUAACGUCAGGAAACGGGCGCUAAUACCGCAUACUAUCAGAUGAGCCUAGGUCGGAUUAGCUAGUUGGUGGGGUAAAGGCCUACCAAGGCGACGAUCCGUAACUGGUCUGAGAGGAUGAGAAGGCCCACUGGGACUGAGACAAGGCCCAGACUCCUACGGGAGGAAGCAGUGGGGAAUAUUGGACAAUGGGCGAAAGCCUGAUGCAGCCAGGCCGCGUGUGUGAAGAAGGUCUUCGGAUUGUAAAGCACUGUAAGUGGGGAGGCGUUACCAACAGAAUAAGCACCGGCUAACUCCGUGCCAGCAGCCGCGGUAAUAC
rnacentral:rRNA from 1 species